rnacentral:snRNA from 1 species
AUUUGAAUAUUCAGUAUAUUUUGC